rnacentral:rRNA from 1 species
GACGAACGCUGGCGGCGUGCUUAACACAUGCAAGUCGAACGGAAAGGCCCUGCUUUUGUGGGGUGCUCGAGUGGCGAACGGGUGAGUAACACGUGAGUAACCUGCCCUUGACUUUGGGAUAACUUCAGGAAACUGGGGCUAAUACCGGAUAGGAGCUCCUGCUGCAUGGUGGGGGUUGGAAAGUUUCGGCGGUUGGGGAUGGACUCGCGGCUUAUCAGCUUGUUGGUGGGGUAGUGGCUUACCAAGGCUUUGACGGGUAGCCGGCCUGAGCGGGUGACCGGCCACAUUGGGACUGAGAUACGGCCCAGACUCCUACGGGAGGCAGCAGUGGGGAAUAUUGCACAAUGGGCGGAAGCCUGACGCAGCAACGCAGCGUGCGGGAUGACGGCCUUCGGGUUGUAAACCGCUUUCGCCUGUGACGAAGCGUGAGUGACGGUAAUGGGUAAAGAAGCACCGGCUAACUACGUG